rnacentral:rRNA from 1 species
UACGUAGGGUGCAAGCGUUGUCCGGAAUUAUUGGGCGUAAAGAGCUCGUAGGCGGUCUGUCGCGUCGGCUGUGAAAACUCGGGGCUCAACUCCGAGCUUGCAGUCGAUACGGGCAGGCUAGAGUUCGGCAGGGGGGACUGGAAUUCCUGGUGUAGCGGUGAAAUGCGUAGAUAUCAGGAGGAACACCGGUGGCGAAGGCGGCUACCUGGCCUAAGACUGACGCUGAGGUGCGAAAGCGUGGGGAGCGAACGGG